GAUUCCUUGGCUUGCAUUGGUGAUGAAGGAAGGGGUAAGUUGCGAAAAGAUGCGGGGAUCGGCACACACGAAUUGAUCCGCAGAUGUCCGAAUGGGGCAACCCGGCAUGUUGAAGACAUGUCACUCUAAUUUAAGAGAGCAAACCAGGAGAACUGAAACAUCUAAGUACCCGGAGGAAAAGAAAUCGAAGAGAUUCCGUAAGUAGUGGCGAGCGAAAGCGGAUUAGCCCAAAAGUUUAUAUAUGUUUAAUAGAUUAGUAUGGAAAGAACACCCAUAGAGGGUGAUAGCCCCGUAUAUGAAAGGCAUAUUUAAGUGAUAAAUGAGUAGGGAGGCCCAAGUGAAACCUUCCUGACUGAAUAGGGAGGGACCUUCCUCCGUGGCUAACUACUCCUGAAAAAUCGAUAUUGAACAUUUACUGGGAAAGAAAAGUGAAAAUUCCUUCAAAUAGAUGGGUGAAAAACAACCUGAAACCGUCCUCCUACUGCGGUCCCAGCCCGUUUGUUGGGKGACGGCUUUCCUUUUGAAUGAU
rnacentral:rRNA from 1 species